AGGUGAACCUGCGGAAGGAUCAUUAGUAUUUACACCAAGAGCCCGGACAACUUGCCGUACCCUGUGUGGGGCAAGAGACCGUAGGCCUUUUUUGGUAUUACCAUAACUCUUCUGUGUACCUAUUACUUGUUGCUUCCCUGGGGCAACCCAGGGAAGGCACACAUAUACUCUGCUUAUUGCAGUCAGUCUGAUAAUGUUUUUUCAUAAAUGUUAAAACUUUCAACAACGGAUCUCUUGGUUCUCG
rnacentral:misc_RNA from 1 species